rnacentral:lncRNA from 1 species
CGAGAGCCACACCCCUAUUUCAUCUUCCAACUGUUUCCCGACGGCGGCGGCGCUCCAGCUCCGGCGUCACAGCGGCGUGAUCUCGGCGGUGAGCCGGUGACCAUGGGUGGCGACUGCGACAACCCGUCGACCCCGUCGUUGGACUGGUAAGGCCCCGCUCCUCCUCCUCUUCUUCAGCACACCCCCCCCCCCAGUCAUCCUCUUAAUUUCUAGGGUUCUUGGUCUUGGCCUUGAUAAUUUCUAGAGUUCAUGGUCCGGUGGGAAGAUUCAAUUAUUGGCCUUAAUUGUGAAUAUAAAUGAGCUCACAUGGCGGUCAGAUCCCUAUUCUAGGAUCCGAUCUCUCCUCUCUAAAAUCAACAAAGAUAUGACGAACAAGGGGGGAACUAGAUGUCAGAUCCCUGUCUUAGUAGUUGUAAACAAUUGUGUGGAUUAAUUUAUCAAAUGUUUUUACUCUGAGCUUGAACUACAGGGUUGCAAUGUUUUGGCAUCAACACUUGUUAAAAUAUUAGCAGGGCAAUAACAUCAAAUUAAGCAUAUAUUCUGAGAUGGUCUUCACAUACAUGCCAUAUUGCUGUAAAUUAGUCAGGUCUGUUGGUCGAUGAUAGAAGUAGGGAAAAUGACUGAGUUUGGUACUUUGAUAUGAUGGAGUGACCACAACUUACAUUUGGCAUUUUGGCUGACUAAUGACGAAAUGGUAGUGACCCAAACGAUUUCUGUGCAAAUUAGUGAUAGAAGAGAUGAAACUUAUAGGCCCAGAAACAAUUAAUCAUACAACAUUGAUGUUCUGAACAGAAAUAUGUGUACUUAGUCUCAAGAUGAAUAUUCUGGACAGAAAUGUUGUGUGUUGAACACCUUUCUUAUUUGGUCACUCCAUUUUUGUUCUACAAACAGAAUUAAGCUGAAUGUAUAUCAUAAUAGCAUUGUCCUGGGAUGGGAUAACUAGAGCUUGGGGUUACGGGUUUCCUGAUAAGUAAUGCUGCAUGUGUACUAGUUAAUCAGUUAUCAGUCACUCCAUUUUGUUAACAAAUCUCAUUCAUAUAUGGGGAUAUCCGAAGUCUAUUUUGUGUUCUCUUUUGGUCACGGCGAAAUGUGAGUCUGCAUAUUGUACAUUAAGAAUAAAUAGAAUGUAGCAAGAAGUCAAUCCAGUCCUUUAAUUUUCUCUCAAAAGAACAGUAAAAAUCAUUUGCCAAUAUGCGGUCUUCUGUUGUUUCUUAUGCAUUAUGUGCUUUGUAGAUACUAGCUGCCCUAUAGGCAUCAAAUAUACUGGCUGUACUACAGUCAGAACUAAAAUGUUUGGGAGAAAUGUCAAGUUGUAUAUUUUGUAAACCUAAACUUUUGGUCUUGCUUUUCUGUUCUGAAACCUAAAUAACAGGGUGAUUUGGCAUUGUUGCCGCUUGCAUGCACAUGGUCGUGUUUCCUAAUUCUCCUAUUUCCUGGCCAGAGGGUUUCAGAAUAAUUGAUCCAUCCAUGACGUACACAACAUGGCGAGAUGAGAGAGCCGUUUGUUCAGCACGGCAGAAGCUCGACCAAGGUGAAUAAUAUAAGUUGUACAACAUAAUGGCUGCAGUUUUUUUUUCCUGAAAUUUGACUAAUAAGAAGUUCAUGCCGUGGUGUUUAAUUUGGAUAUUAUUUUUCUGAAUGACGAACAACUGUAUUUGAUAGGUCUG